CGUAUGCUCUCCGUGACUUUUCAAAACAUAUUAACUCAAAGAAAAUGCCUAAACUGCUCCCCCGGGAAAAUCAGUGAUGGUAUUUUGAAGGUAGAGCGCCGUAAGGCGUGAGAAAAGUAUAAUCUGGCAUGGCUGACCCGCAGGCGCGGGAAUGGCUGUCCGAAAUACCGCGCCUGUGCGCGGAGAAUAGGUUACGCCAAGGAGGAAUUUAGCAUGUUUGAUCUACAUGGUAGUGCGGUCCCCUCGAUCGCGA